UAGAGCUUGGACGAGGAUGUGCAACUGCGGUACGGUAGGACCUUCAGCUACGACCGGCAGCUGCACAUCCAUGUCCAAGCUCUA
rfam:Triticum aestivum genome assembly, contig: Triticum_aestivum_CS42_TGACv1_scaffold_406581_5BL